UAUAGCGCGAUGGCGGGAAAGGGAAGGGCCGCUCGUCAGACCGCAAAGCGCAAGUUACAAAGAGCCACGGAAACGGCCGAAGAACGAGAAGUUCGGCUUGCCAAGCGACGUGCACAGUACGCGGCUAAACAGCAGCGUUCCUCCACGGAGUUCGAGAUGGUUCCGGUUUUCCACAUCAUAGCAUUUACAAUCGAGAAUCGUUGCUUCUGAAGACGGCUUUGCAAGCUGAGUACUCACAGCGGUAGUGCAAGCAGCGGCCCUGACUAUGGAGGAUACGACGGGUAUAUAAAGAUCUACACGAAGCGAGAUUCGUAUAACUAUGUAAAGGCGCAAUACCAAUGUAAAAGGAGAGAAACUAAACACCAUCCAAGAGAAAGAGAGGUAACUAUUCUGGCUAUUGACCUGGUUCUCCCUGUUUACGAAAAUGAAGAUCAUCUGUACCAUCGUGCUAUUGGUGUUUAUGACAGGCAUCCUGGGAUGGGCAUCUGUGAAGGCGAGACGACGUGUACGUCGCUCAACAGGAGAAGCCCGUGGCUGUCCGUUAUUCGGAGUUAUCUGCCACAGACGCUGUAAAGGCGAGAAAUCCUUUGAUGGCUUUUGCGAUGGAGCACACCAUGGUACAUGUUAUUGCUCUGAGCAAUGAUAAAAAUCAAGCGGCGAUUGCAGAAAGCUUUUACCAGUAUGAAGAAACUCCCCAAGGCUUUCCUUAGAAUCAUUUGUGCGCUUGUGGUACUUUAACCAAAUAAAGCUCUAUGUCUAGUUCCGCUAAUAAAAUCUCGGAGGAGCAACUUCA